UGCACAAAAGUACUGUUUUAAAAGUUUAAAUUAUCUGGAGUCCAAGAACGGAUUAAUCCAUUUUACAUUAAUUCUUAUGGGGAAAAUAGUUUCAGUUUACGAACAUUUCAAUUUAUGAACGACCUUCAGGAACGAAUUAAGUUCUUGACCUGGAUUUGACCACGAUCAUCCAGGAAGAUAAGCCCCUCAGCUUUACCAUCCGGCCGAUUCAUUUAUUAAGAGAAAAUCAAGUAUGCUAAUGCAAUAUUCCAAUAAGUGUUACAUCGAUUUUAUCCACAUGGCAUUUAUGAAAUUUAGAAGAGCGUGUAAAAAUGAAUUACAUUUUCACUUCAUACGCAAUUCCUGACAUUCAACUUAAAAUAAUUCAUAUCUUUCCUAUUUUGUUUAUCUUACUGUUUUUGUAUUUCCCACUAACUACUUUUGAAACAACAAAUUUUCUUAAAUUCUAUUACAGACAACAUAUUUUCAUCCUGCAUAUCAGCCAUGCACAGAUCGCCUUCCUCUGUCGAUUUGUUGGAGGUGGGCCUCACCACUUGUUACUUUAACAAGUCACGCAAUCAAAGAAAUAUUAUUUGUGCUUUUGAACAAUGCAUUUUCAUAUAACAAUGUUUGAUGCGAAAUUAUUUUUAUGAUGGUCUGAUGAAAAUGUUUUUAAACAAUAAGCAAAAAUGAUAAUCGUAUUUCUGUAAUAAUCAACAUGUUUUUAUCUUUACUGUCUUUAUGUGGGCGAAAUAGCUCAUUUAAAAAGUGCACACGCUCAGAAGGUUGCACUGCGCUUAAAUAAUGACAAUCUACAACCAGUUUUGCAUUUAGCUACCAUCGGUAUCGAACCUAAUAAGGAAAAAAAUUGUUAGAUCAAUACUGUGCCACGCAUCCAAUUAAAAAUUCCUUGUUUUCUUUACGUUUCUUUGCAAUAUGUAAUUUGUAAACAGCAUAUGAUAUAAAAUUUUCGUGUUUUUUGCUGGCCCUCUUAUAAAUCACAGUAAAUCAAUGCGGCUCUUGGCCUUAACAAGUCUGUGCAUCCCUGUUCUACAUAAAAUCAUUUUAAAAUUCCUUCAUCUGCAUUGUAGAGUGGAACAUACGGAAGGAAAUUAAGAGAUUAGUUUUAUCAGAAAUUAAUUAAUGAAUAAAUAUUUUAUUUCAAUCAUAAAAUCGUGUAUUUGAAGGUAAAAUUAAAUAUUUUAAUUAUUCGUUCAUUCUAAAAAUCCUUUUUCAUAACAAAUAAUUUUAUUUCUUUUCUCUUUUCAGUGUGGACUACGAGAGGUAAAAUAUUUCAAUAUUUAAAAUUAGCAAUAAUAUUUUUAAAAAAUUAUAAUUUUAUUUUUAGGCAUAAAUUAUUUACAUAUACUUGAAAAAGAAAUUGUUCUCAUCGUCACAGAUCAGUUAUUUUAACUAUUAAGUUCUAUGAAAAACUGUAUAUAUUGCAAAGUAAAAACUGAUUCUGAAGAAUACUCUUUCCAAUAAAUAGUACGGAUUUGAGUAUUGAUAUGAUCGGUGUGAAGUUGGCCCCAACUUUUCAAAUUUAAAACUGUUUCUUUUGCACUAGUUUGCACCUUUUGCACUUUCUGAUUUCCACUCACCAAUCAUUCUACAGAAAGAAAACAAAUUUGAUGGAUAACGUAACACCAUAGGUUGUUAUUUUUAAUUACUAUUUGUAGUUGUUUGUUGACGAUUGUUACGUUAUCCACUUCAAAUUUCCAUUGACGUUAUCCAACAAUAAUUAAACGUGAAGUGGAUUAAAUCACUUCUGUGACGUUAUUCACUUCUAAUCUUGAAAUUUUUUCUUUUGCAAACGUUUAAUAUCGUAAGCAAUUUUUGAAAUUUCGUUUAUCAUUCUCACUGUUUGGCCCCAGCAACAAAUUAAACUAAGGAGGCCAGUCCCAAAAUUUGAAAUUUUCAAAUUCUUCUUUUUGCAAUAUUUUGCAAAUCCUUGAAAUUUUACAUAUUUUGUUUGUACUGUCAUCACUUAGGUCACACAAUCAAGAUAUUGGAUCGGUUACUUUAGAUUAUCCGCUAAGAAUUAAAUUAAUUAAAGAAGAUUCUUUUGAUAAUGUCAAAAGCUGUUUUUAUAAAAUUAACCAUCGUAAUAUUUUAUAGGAAAUCGUUAUAGAAAAAUUUAUAACAAUUAUUAUAAAUUAUUUUGUUUGAACUACACGCAACUGACAUAGAAUUAAACGAAUUCUUCUGCUUGUUUGUAGGUAUUAAAAGAAAGAGUUCAGAAAGAGAAAGUAAGUAUUCAAUACACGGUGCGUUCGAAAAGUAACUAUACACCUAGA
rnacentral:lncRNA from 1 species